CAUGACUUAGCAACUGAACAACAACAACAACGUAUUAAUAAUUUGUGAAAGGAUUUCUACAAUCAAACCACUUAAUAUAUCCAUCAUCUCAUACUGUUACCUAGUGUGUGUGUGUGUGUGUGUGUGUGUGUAUGUUGUUUUUGGUGGGAAUGCGUCAUACGUUGUGUUAGUUGCUCAGUCAUGCCCGACUCUUUGCGACCCCUUGGACUGCAGCCUACCAGGCUCCUCUGUUCAUGGGAUUUUCCAGGCAAGGAUACUGGAGUGGGUUGCCAUUUCCUUCUCCAGGAGAUCUUCCCAACCCAGGGAUCAAACCCAGGUCUCCUGCACUGCAGGCAGAUUCUUUACCAACUGAGCUACAAGCUGUACAUUAAAUGCUUAAAACUUAGGCAUUUAAGGGUAUUUAGGUUGUUUCUACACCUUGGCUAUUGUGAAUAAUGCUGCAAUUAACACAUGGAAGUACAGAUAUCUCUUUAAGCAGGUUUCUGGUCCUGAAUAUUCAUUGGAAGGACUGAUGCUGAAGCUGAAACUCCAAUACUUUGGCCACCUGAUGUGAAGAGCUGACUGAUUUGAAAAGACCCUGAUGCUGGGAAAGAUUGAAGGCAGGAGGAGAAGCGGAUGACAGAGGAUGAGAUGGUUGGAUGGCAUCACCGAUUCGAUGGACAUGAGCUUGAGUAAACUCUGGGAGUUGGUGAUGGACAAGGAGGCCUGGCGUGCUACAAUCCAUGGGAUCCCAAAGAGUUGGACCCAACUGAGCGACUGAACUGAACUGAGCAGCAGGUUUUAGUUUCUGACCAUGUUUAUCGUAUCUGUAUUAAAAAAAAUUAUUUUAGUGCGCGUGUGUGUGUUUUACAAUAUUGACAAGACAUUGGAAACAAAAGAGAUGGCUAAAGAUUUCCUAGUUUGCCAGUACACCAAGGAUGGACCAAUUUUAGUUCUUGUUUAUAAUAUGUUUGGAAAACACCUUGGUUUCAGAGCCACAUAGUAAUAUGUCUAUUAUCCCUUUAAAAAUUUUCUUUUUCCGCCCUCUGUGUCAUGAAUAAUUUCUAUGCAAACUGUUUUGACUGAAGCUAUUAGAUAAAACUAACCUAAGAGUACAUAAGCUGUGAAAAGAUCAGCUCUGAACUGGGUGGAAGUCUCCAAUUAUAAUGUAACAAUACUAUCAUUUUAUACACAUGAGCCCAAGAAACCCAGAAUAUGAAGAAAUGUGGCACCCAGAA